GUACGUGUCCACAAAGUUGCAUGCGGUACGCGAACACUAAUGAUCGAUUUGGUUCAAUCAAUGACCACGUUCUAUACCGUCGCGUUUGACCAACUGUAAGAUGAAAUUAGAUGCUACUUGAAGCAGAGAACAUUGAAGGACGUCCAUUACUUUGACAAAUGAAUAACUUACGAUCGUUGAACAUAGUGACUGUUGAUUGAUAUCGUGGAGAGGUUAUUAGUAAAAUGAAAUUGAGAUUAUGUAUGCAUUACAAGCGACGUUUCUUCUGAAAGAAGCAGGAAAAAUUGGAGGUAAAAGUAGUAACGAAGUUUGGUAAUUGGUAAGGAAAGUGGAUUUUAUUUAAACUUAAGUAAUCCGAUGAAUGUUUCAUCGAUAUGAUGUGUCGCUGUGCUUGUUCCAUACCAACGUGUCAUAUUGAACGUUAACCUCUAAAAAGAUACGAAUCACCUUUUUAUAUGUAAUUUCAACACACUUUCCAGAAUACCAUAUGUGCCAAUAAAACGGAGUAAAUUUGCAACUAACGUUUACUGCUCUAACUCGUAACAAUGAACAUUUGUGCAAACAACGGUGAAAAGUGAUUACCAUCUGUUAAUGCAAACGAUGAGACGUUCCUAAUCGAAGAGGAUACUUCCUGAACUUGAGAUCAACCGGAACAAAAGGACGAAAAAUGUUUAUUUGAUUACGUCCCCUUACCGCGUCCUCCUUUCCUCAAAGAGGUCAGCGGAACAGCGCCUCUAGCAAUCUGCGUUCUUCGCCUUCCUGGCUUCUAUGUGUGCAGCUGCUCGUGCCGUGUAUACCAGCCUAACGACGUGUAUGGGUGUGUGUACAUGAGCACGGAUAAAGGUACGCCGACCGCGUAUGACAAGAAACGAGUCGAAGAGUGCGGAAAGCCGGCGAUGUCGUCUGGACGAAACACCCGUCGACGAUACAUUCGACUUUUAUUUUAUCCGAUUACACGCUGAUUCUCUGCUUCAUCACUGUAAACACAAA
rnacentral:lncRNA from 1 species